rnacentral:rRNA from 1 species
UACGUAGGUGGCAAGCGUUGUCCGGAUUACUGGGCGUAAAGAGCGCGCAGGCGGUCGACCAAAGUCGCGUGUGAAAGCCCCCCGGCUCAACUGGGGGAGGGUCACGCGAUACUGAUCGACUCGAAGGCAGGAGAGGGUAGUGGAAUUCCCCGGUGUAGUGGUGAAAUGCGUAGAUAUCGGGAGGAACACCAGUGGCGAAGGCGACUACCUGGCCUGUUCUGACGCUGAGGCGCGAAAGCUAGGGGAGCAAACGGG